rnacentral:rRNA from 1 species
GUCCACGCCGUAAACGAUGGGUGCUAGGUGUGGGCGGUGUCGACUCCGUCCGUGCCGAAGCUAACGCAUUAAGCACCCCGCCUGGGGAGUACGGCCGCAAGGCUAAAACUCAAAGGAAUUGACGGGGGCCCGCACAAGCAGCGGAGCAUGUGGUUUAAUUCGACGCGACGCGAAGAACCUUACCAAGGCUUGACAUGCAUUGGAAUGUCGUAGAAAUACGGCAGCCCUUCGGGGCCGAUGCACAGGUGGUGCAUGGCUGUCGU